GCAAGUCGAGCGCUACCUUCGGGUGGAGCGGCGGACGGGUUAGUAACGCGUGGGAACGUACCCAGAUCUAAGGAAUAGCCACUGGAAACGGUGAGUAAUACCUUAUACGCCCUUCGGGGGAAAGAUUUAUCGGAUUUGGAUCGGCCCGCGUUAGAUUAGGUAGUUGGUGGGGUAACGGCCCACCAAGCCGACGAUCUAUAGCUGGUUUUAGAGGAUGAUC
rnacentral:rRNA from 1 species